rnacentral:pre_miRNA from 1 species
UGAGUUUUGGGGUACGUGUCAGAGGUGCAUUUACAUCGAACUAUUCCAGUUUCGUGGUAUUUGUAAAUGCACUAUCUGGUACGACAUUCCAGAAUCG